UACAGGGGGUGCGAGCGUUAAUCGGAAUUACUGGGCGUAAAGGGCGCGUAGGCGGCCUGUUAAGUCGGACGUGAAAUCCCUCGGCUCAACCGGGGAACUGCGUCCGAUACUGGCGGGCUUGAAUUCGGGAGAGGGAUGUGGAAUUCCAGGUGUAGCGGUGAAAUGCGUAGAUAUCUGGAGGAACACCGGUGGCGAAGGCGGCAUCCUGGACCGACAUUGACGCUGAGGCGCGAAAGCCAGGGGAGCAAACGGG
rnacentral:rRNA from 1 species